UUUUAGCCCCGGUAGUAGUGGAAAUCCUUUCUAGCUCUGAGCUUUUUCAGGGCUGGAAAGAUUGCAACGGAUGACGGGAAAUAGC
rnacentral:sRNA from 1 species